rnacentral:rRNA from 1 species
CCUGGUGGCCAGAGCGAGCGGGAACCACCCGACCCCAUCCCGACCUCGGAAGUGAAACCGCUCAGCGCCGAUGAUAGUGCAGAUCCCUGUGCGAAAGUAGGUCACCGCCAGGCACCUCUUACCCAAAGCCCCGUCGCCUAAAUGGCAACGGGGCUUGUUCUUUUGUC